rnacentral:tRNA from 1 species
GGCUCGGUAGCUCAGUUGGUAGAGCAGAGGACUGAAAAUCCUUGUGUCACUGGUUCGAUUCCAGUUCGAGCCACCA